AUAGAGAGAGAGAUGGUGAGUGCCAGACCUCCGUUAUUUUCUAAAAGCUGACAGUUUAUCUGCGUAUUGUCACCAACACAGGGAGGAACGAUCAGCGCCUAUGAAGUUUG